AAAAAUUAACAAAUAUAACAAAUAAAAUCGUGGCUCCAAAACAAUAUUAAAUCUUCUUUUUUGUAGUUUUUCCUUGAAUCUUUUUUUGUGAAGCAGUUGAAUCAUCCUUACUUGACCUGCAAUUUCAACAUAGUCGAAUUAAUAUUUAAUGUGUCUUUUUCUAUACAAUUAAUGAAUGGAAGAAAAACAGAAAACAAAUAUCAAUAGCAUAUGUUUCAAAUGUGUCUGUCAAAUUAGCAAAUCCCAAAAAACAAUAACAAGUUGAAGCAUUAAUCCACCAACUUUAGCAUAUAUUCAUUAUGUGUCUCUUAACCAAAUCCAAACUUGUAUUUAGCUAUGUCAAACCAGCAAACAAAAAUAAUGUAGGAGUGCACAAACAAACACCAAGUUUUUAGAUUCAUUACAUAGCAGUAGUGUAUAUGAUGCAGCAUCCACAAAUGCUUACUACAUUAUACUUCCAAAAUAAGCCAUUGAUUCUUAGGAAAAAAGUACAUGAUACCACAACGAUUCAACUUUGAUAAUCCAACAAAUUUACUUAACAUUACACAGACUUGAAUUUACUAUUAUUCAGUAUAAGCUUCAACACUAACUAUCCAACAUAGAUGUGUUCAAUUCAUAACAUAAACAAGCCCAUUCAUGCAAUCAAACAUUUUACCAAAAUUGAUCAAAGGAAAAACGUAGCUUGUAAUAGAUUCAAGAAAUCAAACUAUAUUUCGGAGGCAGAAAAAUACUUACCUGGGGAAGAAAUUUGAAUUCUGAAUAUGAAAGAAAUUCGAAUGGGAACUAUGAAUCUGCAAGAAAUUGAAAGAGAUUUGAAGGCUAUUUAUCUGAAUCUGCAAAAAUACUUGAGCGUUGCUUGGUCUCUCUCAUUACCUCCAUAUUGUGCAGAGUUUCUUGCUUUCAGUGAAGAAAC
rnacentral:lncRNA from 1 species